ACCCAGCUAAUUCUAUGAUUCUAUGAAAAAAGUUCAGUACUUUCUGCCUUCUGGCGCAAUUCUAACCAUGGUCAGGAGGGGACACUGUCGGUGUCCUGCACUCGCUCUGUGAUGGCGCUCAGGAUGAGCUGCUCGCUAACUCUCCAGCACCAAGGUUAGACUGACAGUCCUGUAGUUCCCUGAAUCCUUCUGACCCUUCUUGCAGAUGGGCAUCACAUUUACUGACUUCCAGUCAACUGGGACCUCGCCAGUGAGCCAGAGCUGCUGAUAAAUGAUGGAUAGUGGCUUUGAUGAGCAUUUUUGCCAGCUGCCUCAGUACACUUGGGUGGAUCCCACCCGACCCCACAGAUUUGUGCGUGUCUAAGUGGUGUAGCAGGUUGAUGACCACUUCCCCUUGAAUUGUGGGGGCUUAAUUCCUCUCCAUGUCUUCCAGCUCAGGGGGCUGGAUACCACAAGAACAACUGGACUUACCAUUGAAGACUGAAGCAAAGAAGGCAUUAAGUACCUCAGCUUGAGCUCCAGCCAAAACUGUUUAGCCAGGCUGGUCUUCCCCACUGGCUCAUCUUUUGGCACAUGGGGAUGGCCUACUCCUCGGCCUUUAAGAUUUCCUCUUUGAAGAGUGUCCAGCCUUCCUGGACUCCCUUGCCCUUCAGGACUACCUCCCAAGGGACUAUGUCAAUCAGUCUCCUAAACAGGCCAAAGUCUGCCCUCUGGAAGUCCAAGGUGCAGUUCUGCUGACCCUCCUCCUUACUCCUCUGACAAUCAAAAACUCUGUCAUUUCAUAUGUCCAAGAUGGCCUCCAACUUUCUGUCAUGGUUUAACCCCAGCCAGCAACUAAGUACUAUGCAGCCACUCACUCAUUUCCUCACUCAUCCCAGUCGGAUUGGAAGAAGAAUCAGAAAAAGAUAUGAACCCAGCUGAGUCUGUCUUCUGCAGACUACAGUAACAUCUCCAAUAACAAGCUCAGUGACUUUCCCUUUUCUCGUGAUAGAUCACUCAAGAAAUAAGCCUUAUGGGAGAGAGAUCAGCAGUCAUUCUGCAUUCUGAGGAUGUGAACAAACUUUCCAGGGUGAUUUGUUUUCAGUCUCUAAAUUUCUACCUUCUAUACAGUACCCUUAAGUGAUACGUAGCUGAGGUUUUUUAAACUCUUAUUUUUCCUGAGUUGUGUAGGGAAAACCUGUUCAGUCCACAUAGCUUUAAACCAAAUUGGGAUCAAAGUGCUUUAUCGAUCUGUCAGCAAUACGGUAUUAAGCAGCAAUCAGUUGCAUUCAAGUAGUAAUGCAACAAGCAAACCUCCAGACUAGACACAUUAAUGUUAAUGAACACUGGCAAAUUUCUUAACACCCUCUGUAACAAAUGCAAAAGAGAUUUCUGAAAUGCUGCAAGUCUGCCCCUGGCUACUCAUGUGCAUUGUGUUAGUGCUUGUGAGCAUCGACUCUGAAAUAGAUUCAGAAAAAUAAAACCUUUUUUCCACUUGUAA